CCUCCUCUUCUCUCGCUCACUUUCACUCCUCCCGCAGCCGCCUCCCUCCGUCCCUCGCUCUCACCGCCGAUCCCAUCUCCCCUAUCCUCCCCGUUCAUCCCUAGCCCGGCGCCGGCGCCGGCGAUCGCCGUUCCAAUCUCCACGGCCCCUCCUUCUCCACCGUGGCCCGUUACUUCGUCAGCAACCUCUCGCCGGUCUGAUUCGAGCCGCUCCGCGCCACCCCGGCCCCGACCCCCCUUCUUCCAAGCCGGCGCGGCCACCGUCGACGGCGAGGAUCAAUACCAGCCGCAGGAGGAGCAGGAGUGCGGCGGAAAGGAGGAGGAUGAUCAGGGGAGGUCGAGCCGCCAUCCGCCGCCGGCCAUCGACACCUCCUGUUCGACCACACAGAGAGAGCACCAGACCGUCGUCCUUGCGUUCGUUCUCCUCCAGGAAGAAGACGACCCAAGGUGAGCCACCUUCGAUCGAUCUCGCAGGGUCAGCGGGGACUACAACCUAAGGCUCCAUGGCGGCGGCCAGCGAGUUCAUAUCUCCCUCGACGAGAGGACAGGCUCCAGGUUUGCAUCGCAUGGCGUGUAGCUCCACGGCUUCUUCAGGGCCAGCACCAAGCUGCCCUCUGACUACGCCGCCGGCGUCGUCGUCGCCUUCUACACUUUGGCGUCCGGUACAUGUCGAACGGCGAGCUGGACUUGAGUUCCUUACAGAAAGAACUGCAUACAUUGGACACUUGACUGGAGGUUUAAUUCAUUUGAUAUUGUCUUCACUAACUGUGAGUGAGUUUACAUUUAUCUAUCAUUACAAAAUGCUUUCUUCUGUUCUUCCAGUCUGCAUGUUUUGUGACCUUACAACUUCUCCAUGAUGGCAAUAUAUCUGCUUAUGACUAUUCUAAUUGUUCCCAUGGUUGCUUUCCCUUUUGAUGACUCAUAUGCAUGAUAUGUCUUAUCCUUAAACUUCUUAUCACAUUUUGUUUUACUUGGCCGUUGCAUCUAGGAAUUUUUUGUGUAAACAGAUCUAACAUUGGUAUAUAUGUUGAAGUAGUAACUUUAAACCUCCCCGCAAUACCAAACAAUAGUUACUUUAAACCAUAUGCAAGCCCAUUUUACAUGAAAUUUUCUGGUUUUGUCACAUUGCAUUGUCCACCGAUGAAUAGAACCUAUACAGACUACUGUAUUAACGUGAUACAGACUACUAUUUUCUUCGACAUAUAACAAUGGAUAGAAUGUGCACAUCUGUGUUUCUAUAGUUAUUUGCCCUUCAUAAAAAAUUUCUACCCGCUUAAUGAUUGUCGUUCAGAAUUUAGAUGUUUUUUUGGAUGAAAGAUGAUGUUUCAUUCUUUUAGUAGUCCACUGGAUAGUCCAAAAUCUGUUUUACAUAGUUAAUUAUUCGUUGGUAACUCAGAAGUGGUUGUUCAUAACUAACCGUGCAUGGAUGUUUAGUUAUGUACCUUGAGCUUUAUUGUAGUCUGCAAGAAGUUUCCUACUGUUCCACUCCUCGUUUGUGCAUCUUAUCAGUAGAUGCUUAUUUAUUUAAUCAUCUCGAUUAUUUGAUCAGCUGACGGUUCAAUUCCACUUUGAUGCUUGAAUGUCUCGAAAAGAAGGUAAAGAUGGAUAUAUGCACCCUGUUGAAGUUACAAUUGUUUUUUCUUACUUCUAUAGUUGUAUUCAGUUUCUAAAGGCCUUUCAAGCUUUCUAUUCUUACGGAUAUCUGCAUUUCCGUACAUUUUCUCAAGUUGUGGAUUUGGAGUGACCAGUAUGAUUGGGUUCUCCAUUAGACAUUAUCUACAGUCUCCUCGACAUUUCUUAUUUCAUAUGCAAGCAGCUAACCAAUGUGACAUGAUUAUGUUUUGAGUGUAGCUCUACUUUUUCAAGGAUGUUGUUCAUAGCUAUAAUGUUUUUUUAAGUAUCACAUUUUACGGAUGACUGUACCUAUAAUGUUGUUCAUAUAAGAUACAGGGCAAAGUAUUUGUGCAACCUCUGUCCCUGUCCAACGUGUUGUGCGUUGUAGGAGGAGCAAGCGGAUCCCGGUCUGAUAUCAAGCCGAGCCAUGUCCAGGUUGGAGCGGUGAUGGCAGCUGCAGCGGGACGGACGACGCCGGCAACAAGCACAGUUCCUCAUCUUUGUCUCCGACGAAAAGGAUCAUCUGGUUGUCGGCACAUCUUCUAACAAAGUCAUCUCCUGUGAUCCUUUUGUCGACAAGCAGCUAGACCCAAGUCUCCAGAAAAAGCAUGGCCGCCGGCACAAAAUGGACGAAGAAGAGGUGAGCUGCCGCAACAUCGAAGCUCUCGCACCGCUGCUCCCGUCGAGCUCGCGCGUGCGCCAGAUCUGAUGGCCAACACAGCCCGUCUGUCUGCCGGCACCUCCAAGCAAGGCCUACAACAGCAGGCACUACGCGUUGCGCUUUCUGAUGUAAAUCACUUCCUGGACAGGCGGCACACAUCCUGAUGCAAAUCAGUUCCUGGACACCCAACUUGAGAUCAAUUAUCCCGACAUAUACUCUGUCGGAUUGCAUCUAUGUUCUAAAAUCUUUUCCAGACCUAAUCAAUAUGUGAAAGUUUAGUGAGGGGCGCCCCCGUUUACUCACGCCGCUCCAGAUCUGUACACGCUGGGUCACGGUGCUCAGGCGGGCAACGCGCGCCAAGGCGCGCUUCUGAUCUAGUAUAGGUGGUUGAAGGCGUGAUCGAGGAAGGCCUGGCUCGGUCUCGGGCGGCCAUCUGCCGGGCGACUCGCGCGCCCAGGGACGAGAGCGUCCGCCGGAUACGGAGCUUCAGGGACGUCGGCGACGCUUUUGCGCCGCGAGGCGCAAUCUACCGC